GAGUUUGAUCCUGGCUCAGGACGAACGCUGGCGGCGUGCCUAACACAUGCAAGUCGAACGGGGGUUUUGCUUCGGUAGAACCCUAGUGGCGAACGGGUGAGUAACGCGUAGGCAACCUGCCUUUCAGACGGGGACAACAUCCCGAAAGGGGUGCUAAUACCGGAUACGAAGGAACCAUCGCAUGGUGGCUCUUUGAAAGAUGGCCUCUAUUUAUAAGCUAUCGCUGAAGGAUGGGCCUGCGUCCGAUUAGCUGGUUGGUGGGGUAACGGCCUACCAAGGCGACGAUCGGUAGCCGGUCUGAGAGGAUGAACGGCCACAUUGGGACUGAGACACGGCCCAGACUCCUACGGGAGGCAGCAGUGGGGAAUCUUCCGCAAUGGGCGAAAGCCUGACGGAGCAACGCCGCGUGAGUGAGGAAGUUCUUCGGAACGUAAAGCUCUGUUGUACAUGACGAACGUGCCUCUUAUCAACAACGGGGGGCAAUGACGGUAGUGUACGAGGAAGCCACGGCUAACUACGUGCCAGCAGCCGCGGUAAUACGUAGGUGGCAAGCGUUGUCCGGAAUUAUUGGGCGUAAAGCGCAUGUAGGCGGUAAUUUAAGUCUGUCGUGAAAAUGCGGGGCUCAACCCCGUAUGGCGAUGGAAACUGGGUUACUUGAGUGCAGGAGAGGAAAGGGGAACUCCCAGUGUAGCGGUGAAAUGCGUAGAUAUUGGGAAGAACACCGGUGGCGAAGGCGCCUUUCUGGACUGUGUCUGACGCUGAGAUGCGAAAGCCAGGGUAGCGAACGGGAUUAGAUACCCCGGUAGUCCUGGCCGUAAACGAUGGGUACUAGGUGUGGGAGGUAUCGACCCCUUCCGUGCCGGAGUUAACGCAAUAAGUACCCCGCCUGGGGAGUACGGCCGCAAGGCUUAAACUCAAAGGAAUUGACGGGGGCCCGCACAAGCGGUGGAGUAUGUGGUUUAAUUCGAAGCAACGCGAAGAACCUUACCAGACCUUGACAUCCCGAUGAAUGUCAUUUAAUUCUGGCAGCCCUUCGGGGCAUCGGAGACAGGUGGUGCAUGGUUGUCGUCAGCUCGUGUCGUGAGAUGUUGGGUCAAGUCCCGCAACGAGCGCAACCCUUGCCUAUAGUAGCCAGCAGUAAGAUGGGAACUCUAUAGGGACUGCCGGGGACAACCCGGAGGAAGGUGGGGAUGACGUCAAAUCAUCAUGCCCCUUACGGUCUGGGCGACACACGUGCUACAAUGGCGUAACAAAGGGAAGCGACCCCGCGAGGGUGAGCAAACCUCAAAAAUAACGUCCCAGUUCGGACUGUAGUCUGCAACCCGACUACACGAAGCUGGAAUCGCUAGUAAUCGCAGAUCAGAAUGCUGCGGUGAAUACGUUCCCGGGUCUUGUACACACCGCCCGUCACACCAUGGGAGUUGGUAAUGCCCGAAGUCAGUGGCCUAACCGAAAGGAAGGAGCUGCCGAAGGCAGGACCGAUGACUGGGGGGUGAAGUCGUAACAAGGUAACC
rnacentral:rRNA from 1 species